rnacentral:rRNA from 1 species
GACGAACGCUGGCGGCGUGCUUGACACAUGCAAGUCGAACGGAAAGGCCUGCUUUCCCUUGUGGAUUGCGGGUACUCGAGUGGCGAACGGGUGAGUAACACGUGAGUGAUCUGCCCCCAACUUGGGUAUAAGCCUGGGAAACUGGGUCUAAUUCCCGAUAGGACUGCAGGGUGGUGCCUGUGGUGGAAAACGAUUUUCUAGUGGUUGGGGAUGAGCUCGCGGCCUAUCAGCUUGUUGGUGGGGUAAUGGCCUACCAAGGCGGCGACGGGUAGCCGGCCUGAGAGGGUGGACGGCCACAUUGGGACUGGGAUACGGUCCAGACUCCUACGGGAGGCAGCAGUGGGGAAUAUUGCACAAUGGGCGGAAGCCUGAUGCAGCGACGCCGCGUGGGGGAUGACGGCCUUCGGGUUGUAAACUCCUUUCGACCGCGAGGAAGCCACCUGGUUGGAAGGGUGGUGACGGUAGUGGUAGAAGAAGCACCGGCUAACUACGUG